rnacentral:tRNA from 1 species
GGGGUUGUGGCUCAGCGCUAGAGCGCUCACCUAGCACUUGAGAGUCGAGAGGCCCUGGGUUCGAUCCUCAGCACCACA